rnacentral:lncRNA from 1 species
AGGCUCAGGUAUCAGCCCUUUCAAGGAGGGAGCACCCAGAGCACCUGUCAAGACAGUGCCCUUGGUGUAAGCUGCUUCACAUGAGGUUUUCUCACUUACAACCAACGGGGUCCUUGUUCAUUCUACAGAAGAAAAGAGACACGAAGCAAGGACAAAAGAGAUGGUGAAGGAAGAAGGACGGCAUAGAGGUAAAGGUAAAACAAACCCCAAAACAGACAAGGGAAACAGAAAGCAAGAUAUGAGUGUCUGAGGGUGAAGAUGGUGGCCAAGCUCCCCAGCAUCCCUGGCUCAUGGUGAGGGAAAGCUCUCCUCAGAUCCCAGCUUGUCUGCCUGGUGUGGCCUCGGGGAAAUUGCCAGGGGCCACCCCCCAGAUCCAUCCCUUUCCACUGUGGGCUGAGGCUCUGUGUUCCCAUGGGGCAGUUCAGCAAAGGCUGCCUCACCCUCAAGCCAUCUGAUCACCCUAAGCACCCGUGGCGGUCUCCAUCCUAAAGAGGCUGGUGAUCCAGCACCAUGGGCUGCAAUCAGACUUCCUGAGCUCCUCUUCUCCCCACGCCAAGCCUGCCACUGAAGGACCAGCUGUGGGACACCAAACGGUUCCUUCCCCUUUCUGGCCUCCAAAAACCAAAGGGCUCUUUGCCUAUGACUCCGGUUGACUGGCCCAAAGCCACUCCUGACAUAGCUCACAGCAGCACCUACCGACGUGCUCUUUCAAAUGGCUGGCUGGUGUUUGCUUUUGCAGUGACUCUACAUGAAAUGCCACCUGCUGCCCUCCCUGACAACCCCCACCCCCCACCUCCUUAGGAUGCACACAGUUACUCCCCAGGGCCCAGGAACUUUCCCAGAUACAUCCUGCAAAUCAGUCCCUUUGUCCUCCAU